GCGAUGGUGGCGGAAUUGGUAGACGCGCUAGCUUCAGGUGUUAGUGUCCUUAGGAUGUGAGGGUUCGAGUCCCUCCCUUCGCACCA
rnacentral:tRNA from 3 species